rnacentral:lncRNA from 1 species
AACUACGACAUCGUCACCAUUGGGGCGCCAGCAGCACACUGCCAAGGUUUUAAGUCAGGAGGUCUCCGCAAAAAGCUGCACAAAUUUGAAGAGACCAAGAAACACAGUUUUGAGGAGUGUUGUACAUCAUCUGGCUGCCAGUCCAUAAUCUACAUACCCCAGGAUGUUGUCAGAGCCAAGGAGAUCAUCGCCCAGAUCAACACCCUGAAAACCCAAGUGAGUUACUACGCAGAGCGGCUGUCAAGGGCAGCCAAGGACAGGUCUGCCACUGGCCUUGAGAGGACACUCGCC